UAGGGAAUCUUCGGCAAUGGACGGAAGUCUGACCGAGCAACGCCGCGUGAGUGAAGAAGGUUUUCGGAUCGUAAAGCUCUGUUGUAAGAGAAGAACGAGUGCGAGAGUGGAAAGUUCACACUGUGACGGUAUCUUACCAGAAAGGGACGGCUAACUACGUGCCAGCAGCCGCGGUAAUACGUAGGUCCCGAGCGUUGUCCGGAUUUAUUGGGCGUAAAGCGAGCGCAGGCGGUUAGAUAAGUCUGAAGUUAAAGGCUGUGGCUUAACCAUAGUAGGCUUUGGAAACUGUUUAACUUGAGUGCAAGAGGGGAGAGUGGAAUUCCAUGUGUAGCGGUGAAAUGCGUAGAUAUAUGGAGGAACACCGGUGGCGAAAGCGGCUCUCUGGCUUGUAACUGACGCUGAGGCUCGAAAGCGUGGGGAGCAAACAGGAUUAGAUACCCUGGUAGUCCACGCUGUAAACGAUGAGUGCUAGGUGUUAGACCCUUUCCGGGGUUUAGUGCCGUAGCUAACGCAUUAAGCACUCCGCCUGGGGAGUACGACCGCAAGUG
rnacentral:rRNA from 1 species